rnacentral:rRNA from 1 species
ACACUCCUACGGGAGGCAGCAGUGGGGAAUUUUGGACAAUGGGCGAAAGCCUGAUCCAGCCAUGCCGCGUGCAGGAUGAAGGCCUUCGGGUUGUAAACUGCUUUUGUACGGAACGAAACGGCCUUUUCUAAUAAAGAGGGCUAAUGACGGUACCGUAAGAAUAAGCACCGGCUAACUACGUGCCAGCAGCCGCGGUAAUACGUAGGGUGCAAGCGUUAAUCGGAAUUACUGGGCGGAAAGCGUGCGCAGGCGGUUAUGUAAGACAGUUGUGAAAUCCCCGGGCUCAACCUGGGAACUGCAUCUGUGACUGCAUAGCUAGAGUACGGUAGAGGGGGAUGGAAUUCCGCGUGUAGCAGUGAAAUGCGUAGAUAUGCGGAGGAACACCGAUGGCGAAGGCAAUCCCCUGGACCUGUACUGACGCUCAUGCACGAAAGCGUGGGGAGCAAACAGGAUUAGAAACCCCUGUAGUCCCAUG